rnacentral:tRNA from 1 species
GCGCUUGUAGCUCAAUGGAUAGAGCACUUCUUUGCGGAAGAAGAGGUUGUGGGUUCGAAUCCCGCCUAGCGCACCA